rnacentral:rRNA from 1 species
AGUGAACGCUGGCGGUAGGCCUAACACAUGCAAGUCGAGCGGCAGCACAGUAAGAGCUUGCUCUUACGGGUGGCGAGUGGCGGACGGGUGAGGAAUACAUCGGAAUCUACUUUUUCGUGGGGGAUAACGUAGGGAAACUUACGCUAAUACCGCAUACGACCUACGGGUGAAAGCAGGGGAUCUUCGGACCUUGCGCGAUUGAAUGAGCCGAUGUCGGAUUAGCUAGUUGGCGGGGUAAAGGCCCACCAAGGCGACGAUCCGUAGCUGGUCUGAGAGGAUGAUCCGCCACACUGGAACUGAGGCACGGUCCAGACUCCUACGGGAGGCAGCAGUGGGGAAUAUUGGACAAAGGGCGCAAGCCUGAUCCAGCCAUACCGCGUGGGUGAAGAAGGCCUUCGGGUUGUAAAGCCCUUUUGUUGGGAAAGAAAAGCAGCAGGUUAAUACCCCGCUGUUCUGACGGUACCCAAAGAAUAAGCACCGGCUAACUUCGUG